ACAAAUGAUUGGGGUGAAGUCGUAACAAGGUAUCCGUACCGGAAGGUGCGGAUGGAUCACCUCCUUUCUAAGGAGCA
rnacentral:rRNA from 1 species